UUCCCCUAGUAACUGCGAGUGAAGCGGGAAAAGCUCAAAUUUAAAAUCUGGUAGUCUUUGGCUGCCCGAGUUGUAAUCUAGAGAAGCAUUAUCCGUGCUGGACCGUGUAUAAGUCUCCUGGAAUGGAGCGUCAUAGAGGGUGAGAAUCCCGUCUUUGAUACGGACUCCCAGUGCUUUGUGAUGUGCUCUCAAAGAGUCGAGUUGUUUGGGAAUGCAGCUCUAAAUGGGUGGUAAAUUCCAUCUAAAGCUAAAUAUUGGCGAGAGACCGAUAGCGAACAAGUACCGUGAGGGAAAGAUGAAAAGAACUUUGGAAAGAGAGUUAAACAGUACGUGAAAUUGUUGAAAGGGAAACGCUUGAAGUCAGUCGCGUUGUCCAGGGAUCAACCUUGCUUUUGCUUGGUGUAUUUCCUGGUUUAACGGGUCAGCAUCAAUUUUGAUCAGUGGAAAAAGAUCAAAGGAAUGUGGCAUCUUUGGAUGUGUUAUAGCCUUUGGUUGUAUACAUUGAUUGGGAUUGAGGAACUCAGCAUGCCGCAAGGCCGGGUUUUUAACCACGUUCGUGCUUAGGAUGCUGGCAUAAUGGCUUUAAUCGACCCGUCUUGAAACACGGACCAAGGAGUCUAACAUACCUGCGAGUGUUUGGGUGGAAAACCCAAGCGCAUAAUGAAAGUGAAAGUUGGGAUCCCUGUCGUGGGGAGCACCGACGCCCGGACCAGACCUUCUGUGACGGAUCCGCGGUAGAG
rnacentral:rRNA from 1 species